rnacentral:lncRNA from 1 species
AAAAUCCAUACUUUCAAGGUCUUAUUCUCUGCAGUCUGCACAUUUCCUCUGUGUAUUCAGAUAAGUCGAGCAGUGAUCAAUCUAAGUAUCUUGGCGCAAUUAAUAGCGACAGCGCCUUCUUCCAUUUCUUGUGUUGGCACUUUUUCCAGCGACCGAGUUUGUCUUUUCAUCGAGAUUUCUUUGGUUUGUGCCCUUUUGGCUGAUCAAUUUUGCCUCUUUUUCAUCUUCUUACCAAUAUGUCUUGUUCAGCGACUGAGGAGUCAAAGGCUUGAUUGAAGGAUUAGUUGCAUUUUUGUUCGUGGGAAAGAUGGCGCCUUUCUUUCUGCUGAUUGGAAAGUU